GACGAACGCUGGCGGCGUGCUUAACACAUGCAAGUCGAACGAUGAAACCUAGCUUGCUAGGUCGAUUAGUGGCGAACGGGUGAGUAACACGUGACUAACCUGCCCCUUUCUCUGGGAUAACGCUCCGAAAGGAGUGCUAAUACCGGAUACUCACAUCGAGGCACAUGCCUUGGUGUGGAAAGUUUUUCGGAAAGGGAUGGAGUCGCGGCCUAUCAGCUUGUUGGUGAGGAACGGCUCACCAAGGCGACGACGGGUAGCCGGCCUGAGAGGGCGACCGGCCACACUGGGACGGAAGCACGGCCCAGACUCCUACGGGAGGCAGCAGGGGGGAAUAUUGCACAAUGGGCGCAAGCCUGAUGCAGCGACGCCGCGUGAGGGAUGAAGGUCUUCGGAUUGUAAACCUCUUUCAGUAGGGACGAAGCGAAAGUGACGGUACCUAAAGAAGAAGCACCGGCUAACUACGUGCCAGCCGCCGCCGUAA
rnacentral:rRNA from 1 species